rnacentral:rRNA from 1 species
GACGAACGCUGGCGGCGUGCUUAACACAUGCAAGUCGAACGGAAAGGCCCUGCUUUUGUGGGGUGCUCGAGUGGCGAACGGGUGAGUAACACGUGAGUAACCUGCCCUUGACUUUGGGAUAACUUCAGGAAACUGGGGCUAAUACCGGAUAGGAGCUCCUGCUGCAUGGUGGGGGUUGGAAAGUUUCGGCGGUUGGGGAUGGACUCGCGGCUUAUCAGCUUGUUGGUGGGGUAGUGGCUUACCAAGGCUUUGACGGGUAGCCGGCCUGGGAGGGUGACCGGCCACAUUGGGACUGAGAUACGGCCCAGACUCCUACGGGGGGCAGCAGUGGGGAAUAUUGCACAAUGGGCGGAAGCCUGAUGCAGCAGCGCCGCGUGCGGGAUGACGGCCUUCGGGUUGUAAACCGCUUUCGCCUGUGACGAAGCGUGAGUGACGGUAAUGGGUAAAGAAGCACCGGCUAACUACGUG